GGGCCCGUAGCUCAGUUGGUUAGAGCACUCGGCUCAUAACCGAAGGGUCCCCCGUUCAAAUCGGGGCGGGCCCACCA
rnacentral:tRNA from 1 species